rnacentral:rRNA from 1 species
ACACAGUGAGGAUUGACAGAUUGAGAGCUCUUUCUUGAUUCUGUGGGUGGUGGUGCAUGGUCCGUUUUAGUUGGUGGAGUAAUUUGUCUGGUUAAUUCCGUUAACGAACGAGACCUUAACCUAUUAAAUAGUCGUGGGAACCCAGGUCUUUCAUCCUCUUUCUCAGCAAGUGGGGGGGAGGAAACCAUUAUCAUAUUGGUACCCUCUGGGUAUCAUGUGGUAGUGGUGAGGAUCUGAUAGUGUUCUUAUAGGCUUCUUAGAGGGACUCUUUGCAUCUUUAGCAAAUGGAAGUUUGAGGCAAAAACAGGUCUGUGAUGCCCUUCGAUGUUCUGGGCUGCACGCGCGUUACAAUGACGCAUGCAACGAGUUAUUAAAUUCCUGGCCCGAUGGGGUUGGGUAAUCUUUUUAAAGUGCGUCGUGAUGGGGAU